AGGGAGUGCGCAGGCUCUGGGCUCCCGCCCCCCGGGCUCGGGCCAGAAGCGCCAACUUUGCGGGGGCCCGGCCCGGUGCGAGCCCCUCCGCGAGAUCCCAUACAGCGCUUGCUUGUCAUGUCCCCGGCGACCUCUCAGGCUGGCCUUGUUCUGAUGACCUCGACAGUCUCCAGAGUCUGGCCAGCAGAGGAUCCAUACUGUCAACGUGGCUCGCCGCUGCUGACCUUCACCUUGAUCACCUGGCUCAGGUCACGUUCGCAUCAGGCCAGCACCUGAGCGCGCAUGAGAGUUGGGGCAGGAGCUCCCGCCGGAGUCUGCAGCCGCCAGCAGAGUGUGGUCCAGGAGAGACCCCGAGAUGCUGGCGCAUGACCUUGCAGAAUGCUGCGUCCGUCCCCUGCUCUGGAGUGACUGUUCUCUGUGACAGGAUCCUAUGAGGACCCGCGGGCAUGUGGGCCACGAUGGGGCACCCGCUCCCCACUCCGUGGACGAGGCCAAGCUCCGGUUUAUGGCUGAGACCCUCGACCCAGAAGACAAUUCUGUAGGGAAAGAGAUGGUGACGCCUCCAGGUCCUCCAUGAACACCGAUGACCUGACGGUUGCGUCUGUCGCGCCGAGCGGACGCCGCGGGGAAGGUGCAGGUGCUCGGCCGCCCUCGGAGCCCGGGCGCGGGACGUCCUUCUCGGAAGCACCAGCGGCCACACACAGAUCGACGCCAGCUGCUCACUGACAGGUUCCCGGGGAGCACGUUUGGCUUCCUGUGCAAACACGGGAAUACCUGAUUCCAAACGUGGAUCAAGACCUAUUGUAAGAAGGACAGCAGUUGGGUGACCGGUCGAGACUGUGCCUCUUGCGGCCGUGGGUCCCCCGGAGAAGCGUGUCCCGUUUUGUCCUCGGGCUGCACGUGGGGCGGGGGAGUCUCGCCUGCAGGUUUCCUGGGACACCUGGACGGUCCUAGCAACGUCUCUCCUCCCUCCCGGGCGCGCUGCAGCUCUCGGUCUGUCUGGGUCGCAGGACACGGAGAGAGCGACUGGGUGUCCUGACGUCCAGGUACGUGGUGUGACACACGCGGCGGAGCUAAGAGGCAUCGGGCCGUGAGCGGCUGCGCCCACUGGGUAGGGACACACCUCCCUGGACCUGGCGUGAACGUUCACGUGGUCACCCGGUCGCUGCUCAACACACCCUCUAACUUUUACUCCGUGUUUCCGGCAGCCCCGGUGACGGGAGGCGUCCCGGCUGUGGGACCCGCGUCCGGGUUGGGUCCUGGCCUCCGUGCCCAGCUCCGGGGGCUUCGUCCAGAGCAAGGGGGGCCGCGUUCUCGAAGCUGGCUCCCUGCAGUGCCCUUGCCUUUCCCCGGACUCAGACUGUAGAGCUGUUAGAAGUCAGAGGCCGGGCUGGGAGGAUUUACAGGGACAACGGAGGGUGGAAUCAGCCACACUUUGCUUUAAUCAGGCUUUAGUUGCUGUGGCCUCGAGGCCUGUCAGCUUCCGAGGUAUUUGCAUAUCAGCACGAGGCUGUCCUGGGUGUUAAUCCUGUUUACCUCUCCCAGCAUCUCCUCCCGCCUUCCAGCAGGUGUCUGACUUCAGUGGCUGCCUCUGGGGGACUCCUGUGCUGGGGACACCGGCCUCCUCUGCUCCCUGGGCGGAGCCCUCCAGCCCGAGGGUAGAUGGGGUUGGGGUCAGAACAAAGCCUGGU